AUAAUGCUAGGAAACUGCCCAGUAGUGGGGGAUAGCCCGGGGAAACCCGGAUUAAUACCGCAUACGCCCUUCGGGGGAAAGCAGGGGAUCUUCGGACCUUGCGCUAUUGGAUGUGCCUAUGUCGGAUUAGCUAGUUGGUGGGGUAAAGGCCUACCAAGGCGACGAUCCGUAGCUGGUCUGAGAGGAUGAUCAGCCACAUCGGGACUGAGACACGGCCCGAACUCCUACGGGAGGCAGCAGUGGGGAAUAUUGGACAAUGGGGGCAACCCUGAUCCAGCCAUGCCGCGUGUGUGAAGAAGGCUUUCGGGUUGUAAAGCACUUUCAGCGAGGAGGAAAACCUGGCGAUUAAUACUCGUCAGGCUUGACGUUACUCGCAGAAGAAGCACCGGCUAACUCCGUGCCAGCAGCCGCGGUAAUACGGAGGGUGCAAGCGUUAAUCGGAAUUUACUGGGCGUAAAGCGCCGCGUAGGCGGGUUUUGAUAAGCGGGAUGUGAAAGCCCCCGGGC
rnacentral:rRNA from 1 species